UACGAAGGACCCGAGCGUUAUCCGGAUUUAUUGGGUUUAAAGGGUGCGUAGGUGGAACGGUAAGUCAGUGGUGAAAGCCUGUUGCUUAACAACAGAACUGCCAUCGAUACUGCCGAUCUUGAGUACAUAUGAUGUGGGCGGAAUGUGCCAUGUAGCGGUGAAAUGCUUAGAUAUGGCACAGAACACCGAUUGCGAAGGCAGCUCACAAAACUGUAACUGACACUGAGGCACGAAAGCGUGGGGAGCAAACAGG
rnacentral:rRNA from 1 species